GUAAUCCUGCACUGCUUGACCUUUUCCUGCUACACUGGCUGUGUAUGUUGAAGAAAAAAGUUGAAAGACCUGAAAUUUUGAUCCUCAUUGAUUGAUCAUCUAAAAUGGCAGGAAAUCAUAAUUCCCGAAUACCACCUAAAAGCCAAGGGCCCAGCAGCUGAUGAACCGUGCCAGGGUUGAAUUCUUCAGGGCYGGAUGAUGCAGGAAUCCAGAGGCCUGAAUUCAAGGCUGAUUUGAACAGGUUCUAAUGAAUCCAAAAUGAUGAAACUGAGACUUGAAAUCCGAGCAUGUUGAUGGACAAGGGCACAAGUCUAAAAUGACCAGGGUCACUGCUACACUGAGAUUUCCCAACCAUCUCCUGCUUUGGGAAAGCCAUCCUACAGUGCAGUACUGACAUGGUUUAGUGAAGGGAUGUACACCACCACCGUUUUCCUUAACUUUGGACUCCUGAUUAAA